UUAGGAAUACAGGGAUGAACAGAGGUGCAGAGGGAAUCCUAGUGUGAGAUGUACCAUGCUUUUAGAGCCAGAAAGUGAGGUGUCCUUCCUCUCUUCACUUGGGCCUUUUGAAAGUAUUAGAAAAAAACUUGUCCCCUAAACUUGAUCCUGAAGUCUCCUAACUGCCCUUGGCAAUGUCAAAGCUUGGGAGAAAAUUAAGGCUUUGUUCAGUUUACUAUCAUCCACAUUAUAUAUUUUAAUACACACAUAGUAGAGAAACCAGUGUACAGAGAAAUGAAGAGAUGUGCCUAAGGUCUUUGUGCAUGCAGCUUGUGGCAGCAUUAGGAUGUGGAUUCCAAAUCGCUCAGUCUGGUCUUCCUCCCCAUGUACCAUGCUGCCUUUCUCCUGCAGAGUUUGGGGG
rnacentral:lncRNA from 10 species